rnacentral:rRNA from 1 species
AGCGAACGCUGGCGGCAGGCUUAACACAUGCAAGUCGAGCGGGCAUAGCAAUAUGUCAGCGGCAGACGGGUGAGUAACGCGUGGGAACGUACCUUUUGGUUCGGAACAACACAGGGAAACUUGUGCUAAUACCGGAUAAGCCCUUACGGGGAAAGAUUUAUCGCCGAAAGAUCGGCCCGCGUCUGAUUAGCUAGUUGGUGAGGUAAUGGCUCACCAAGGCGACGAUCAGUAGCUGGUCUGAGAGGAUGAUCAGCCACAUUGGGACUGAGACACGGCCAAAACUCCUACNNNNNGCAGCAGUGNNGANNAUUGGACAAUGGGCGCAAGCCUGAUCCAGCCAUGCCGCGUGAGUGAUGAANGCNCUNGGGUUGUAAAGNUCUUUUGUGNGNGANGAUAAUGACNGUNCCGCAAGAANAAGCCCCGGCUAACUUCGUGCCAGCCGCCGCGGUAA